rnacentral:lncRNA from 10 species
ACUGGCAGACUAUUGCAAAAAGGGCACGGGGCAGAGGGACUAUGUUGUGAGCCUGCGAAAGAAGUUUGUGUGGGGACUGUGGGCAGUGAACGCGUUGGGAACAAUAUGGAAAACUGGGAGCCGCCUUGGAAUCUACAGGGCCGGAGAGACCGAGGGGCUCACUAGGUUGACCAGGCUGGUCUUGAACUCCUGGCCUCAAGCCAUCCUCCCACCUCAGCCUCCCAAAGUGCUGGGAUUACAUGCAUGAGCCACCACAUCCAGCCUACCUAAAAUAUUGAAUGCUGUUAAUAAAUCUCCUGAGGCCAGCAUAAGAAGGUGAUGGGCAAAACUAAUGCAGGGUUUCAGUUGUGCAAUUUCACCAUUAGCAAAGCUUUUUGCUGAAAUCUGGCUUUUCAAAGGGAGAGUAUCCAGAAACAGAAGAUGCUGCUCUGAGAGGCUCUUCCUAAUAGAACUGCUGCUUCAGUUUAGCUUGAAAAAGCCCACACCGAGUUCCUAAUGACAGACAUCUGAACACCGGGUCUUCCCACGAGCAAGACCAUGCUAUGCCUCCUGCUCGCUCUGUUCUAUAAGCAACCCACAGAUUGCUCCCUGUGAAGAGGAGCCUGCCAGGGGAGCAGCAUUCCACCAGACCCUGAUUUAGCAAGAUAUUUCCGUAUCAUUCCCCCAACCAGCUGGAAGUCCUCCAUUGCUCUUGUGUAAAAAUCUAACUCAUCUCGCUGAAUUUCCUGAUUUAAAAGUCUAAUUCAUUUCACCAAAAGUGUGACAGAAGGAAACCAAGUACACCAUCUCUCUC